rnacentral:lncRNA from 1 species
CACCGCUUUGACGGCGGCGUGCGUCCUGUUUCCAGCAGAUAGAGAGUAGAGGAGAGAGGACGAGAGUUUAGGAAGAAGAGAGUGCCGAGAGAGAGAGGGAGAGCCGCGCCGCUCGCCGGCGGCGACGGCGCCGAUGAACGGCAGCGGCAGCGGCAGCGGACAAUUCGUCCGAGAGAGAGAGAGUGUUGGGGAAGGAGGCG